CUGUGAUCUAAACUGAUGGAAGCAACUCGCAUGUACUUUGCAAGAUUAAGUACUGGGCAGGUAAUUUUGUUCGACCUAUGAAUGACCAGUUCAUUGCCUUUCCUGUAUUGGUCUGUUUUGCUUUUUAUUAUUGUUAGUUGCAAAUGAGUGUCACAAAUGAGUGUCGCAAAUGACCACAUCUUGAAUUUUGAGGUCUGCAAUCUCGUUGUACCUAAGAAACCCAGCGAACAAUAGCAAUGCCAUAGAGAUGUCUCUACGUACAGUGAGUGUGUCACAACCCUGAUAGUUUGUACAACACUCCUCUAGGGCCUCACUGGUAACAGGAGCCUUUUUGGAAACUGGUUUGGCAUGCUCUCUUUUGGCACCCUCCACCAAAUUUUGAAGAAAUUUGUUUUCCAUGGGGUUAUGUAUACCUGCAAUAUCAUGAACCCAUUUAAGGGCACAAUAACUAGA
rnacentral:lncRNA from 1 species